AAUUGGAUUAAGGUGUGAAGAACCUGAAGAAUUUUUCUUUUCUUUUCCUUUUAUUAUUAUUGUUAUUUUUUUUAAUAUUAUUGGGUUUUAUUCUCCUUUUGACUAUUGCAACUGAGGAUUAAGGUCUAGAAGAACCUGAAGAAAGAAAUUUUUCUGGUGGCAAUUUUUCUUUUUUCCUUGAAACUUUUUUUCCUUUUUAAAUUUUGGGUUUUUUGGUUUUUUUUUACUGAUUUUUCUUUUUUACGUUUUUCCUUUCCCUAAUUGGAUUAUAAUUGUUACACUGCCAACUGGAUUAAAAGAGUGGGAAGAUUCCGAGUUAUUCAAAUGAGUAAGAAAGUUCUACCUUCUGGCGCAUCAACUUCUGCUCCUGCCUCCCCAUCAAUUGGAGGACGACUUUCAACAAUGGCGAAGCAAGAUAAAGGACAAACGGAUCUAACGACGGUUAUGCAAGGAAUUCAAGAACUUAAAAUGAGUAUUGAACAAAGGAUGGGGAGUAUUGAACAAAAAAUUGAAAAUAUCCAACAGAUGAUGGCGAAGUAUGAUGAGAAACUACAAAAAAUGGAAGAGAAAGACAAUCAAAGAGAUGAGAAAUUGCAAAAAUUAGAAGAGAAAGACAAUCAAAGAGAUGAGAAAAUUGGAAAUAUUGAUGACAGAGUGACAACGCUUGAACAAAACAAGAAUGAGAUGGUGAAGUGGGAGAUGGAUAGAUCAGAAUAUUACCUCAGAUUUCAAAAUAUAGAGGAAGAAAAAGGACAAGAUCUUGCUGCAGUAAUGAUAGAAAUCUUGGCUGGAGCUUUGGAAAUAACAGAGGAAAAAAUGAUGGAUGGAAUAGAUGAGAUAUACCGAGUUUUUACAAGAUAUGCAUCGAGGAAUAAGUUACCAAGAGAAGUUCAUGUUAGAUUUACUAAAAAAUCUAUCAGAACGCAGAUAUUACAAGCGGCAAGAGAGAAGACAUUGAAAUAUGGAGAUAAAGAGAUCGGGGUUUUAAAACAAGUACCCAGAAAAAUUAGAGAGGUGAGGAGAGAAUAUCGUUUCCUGACUAAAGUAUUAUUGGAAAAGGAGGUGAAUUACAGAUGGUUGAUUCCAGAAGGAUUAAUGGUUACAUGGAAAGAACAGAGAUACAGAAUUGGCUCAAUUGAUGAAGCAGAAUCGUUUUAUAAGGAAUUUUUUAAAAGAAGAGAAACAGAGAUAGAAGAAGAGACUACCUUAACUGAAUUUCAAGAGGACCAAAUAGAGAUGGGAAAAGAAGAAGGUGCAGUAGGUGGACAAGUGGAGACUAAAGAACAACGUGAAGUAAGAUCAACGAGAGCCGUUAGACCUAAAUAUAAAUCAUAACUAUGGAGGAAAAAAAAUUGAUUUCUUUGAAUAUAAAUGGACUGAAUUCAGCUACUAAAAGAAGGAAAAUUUUUCAUAAAAUAGAGAAAUUAAAAUUUGAUAUAAUUUGUUUACAAGAAGUACACAUUAAAAAACAAC
ensembl:lncRNA